UUGGUUAAGUUAGAAAGGGCGCACGGUGGAUGCCUUGGCACUAGGAGCCGAAGAAGGACGGGACUAACACCGAUAUGCUUUGGGGAGCUGUACGUAAGCGUUGAUCCAGAGAUUUCCGAAUGGGGGAACCCACUAUCUUUAGUCGGAUAGUAUCCUUACGUGAAUACAUAGCGUGAGGAAGGCAGACCCAGGGAACUGAAACAUCUAAGUACCUGGAGGAAGAGAAAGAAAAAUCGAUUUCCUGAGUAGCGGCGAGCGAAANNGAAGCGGUCUGGAAAGGCCCGCCAAAGACGGUAACAGCCCGGUAGUUGAAAUGGCUUUCCCUCCAGAGUGGAUCCUGAGUACGGCGGAACACGUGAAAUUCCGUCGGAAUCCGGGAGGACCAUCUCCCAAGGCUAAAUACUCCCUAGUGACCGAUAGUGAACCAGUACCGUGAGGGAAAGGUGAAAAGCACCCCGGAAGGGGAGUGAAACAGUUCCUGAAACCGUGUGCCUACAAGUAGUUAGAGCCCGUUAAUGGGUGAUAGCGUGCCUUUUGUAGAAUGAACCGGCGAGUUACGAUUUGUUGCAAGGUUAAGCGGAAAAAGCGGAGCCGUAGCGAAAGCGAGUCUGAAUAGGGCGCAUAAGUAACAGGUCGUAGACCCGAAACCAGGUGAUCUACCCAUGUCCAGGAUGAAGGUAAGGUAAUACUUACUGGAGGUCCGAACCCACGCACGUUGAAAAGUGCGGGGAUGAGGUGUGGGUAGCGGAGAAAUUCCAAUCGAACUUGGAGAUAGCUGGUUCUCUCCGAAAUAGCUUUAGGGCUAGCCUCGAGGUAAAGAGUCAUGGAGGUAGAGCACUGUUUGGACUAGGGGCCCUUCUCGGGUUACCGAAUUCAGAUAAACUCCGAAUGCCAUGUACUUAUACUCGGGAGUCAGACUGCGAGUGAUAAGAUCCGUAGUCGAAAGGGAAACAGCCCAGACCACCAGUUAAGGUCCCCAAAUAUAUGUUAAGUGGAAAAGGAUGUGGGGUUGCUUAGACAACCAGGAUGUUGGCUUAGAAGCAGCCACCAUUGAAAGAGUGCGUAAUAGCUCACUGGUCGAGUGACCCCGCGCCGAAAAUGUACCGGGGCUAAACAUAUUACCGAAACUGUGGAUGAACCUCUUUAGAGGUUCGUGGUAGGAGAGCGUUCUAAGGGCGGUGAAGUCAGACCGGAAGGACUGGUGGAGCGCUUAGAAGUGAGAAUGCCGGUAUGAGUAGCGAAAGAAGGGUGAGAAUCCCUUCCACCGAAUAUCUAAGGUUUCCUGAGGAAGGCUCGUCCGCUCAGGGUUAGUCGGGACCUAAGCCGAGGCCGAUAGGCGUAGGCGAUGGACAACAGGUAGAGAUUCCUGUACCAGUGCUAAUUGUUUAACCGAUGGGGUGACACAGAAGGAUAGGGAAUCGCACGAAUGGAAAUGUGCGUCCAAGCAGUGAGUGUGAGAAGUAGGCAAAUCCGCUUCUCGCGAAGCAUGAGCUGUGAUGGGGAAGGAAAUUAAGUACGGAAGUUCCUGAUUUCACGCUGUCAAGAAAAGCCUCUAGGAAGAGUAGUACUGCCCGUACCGCAAACCGACACAGGUAGAUGAGGAGAGAAUCCUAAGGUGAGCGAGAGAACUCUCGUUAAGGAACUCGGCAAAAUGACCCCGUAACUUCGGGAGAAGGGGUGCUCUAUUAGGGUGCAAGCCCGAGAGAGCCGCAGUGAAUAGGCCCAGGCGACUGUUUAGCAAAAACACAGGUCUCUGCAAAACCGUAAGGUGACGUAUAGGGGCUGACGCCUGCCCGGUGCUGGAAGGUUAAGAGGAGUGCUUAGCUUCGGCGAAGGUACGAAUUGAAGCCCCAGUAAACGGCGGCCGUAACUAUAACGGUCCUAAGGUAGCGAAAUUCCUUGUCGGGUAAGUUCCGACCCGCACGAAAGGCGCAACGAUCUGGGCACUGUCUCAACGAGAGACUCGGUGAAAUUAUAGUACCUGUGAAGAUGCAGGUUACCCGCGACAGGACGGAAAGACCCCGUGGAGCUUUACUGCAACCUGAUAUGGAAUGUUUGUACCGCUUGUACAGGAUAGGUAGGAGCCGAAGAGACGUGUGCGCUAGCAUACGAGGAGGCAAUGGUGGGAUACUACCCUGGCUGUAUGACCAUUCUAACCCGCCACGCUUAGCGCGUGGGGAGACAGUGUCAGGUGGGCAGUUUGACUGGGGCGGUCGCCUCCUAAAGAGUAACGGAGGCGCCCAAAGGUUCCCUCAGAAUGGAUGGAAAUCAUUCGCAGAGUGUAAAGGCACAAGGGAGCUUGACUGCGAGACUGACAAGUCGAGCAGGGACGAAAGUCGGGCUUAGUGAUCCGGUGGUUCCGCAUGGAAGGGCCAUCGCUCAACGGAUAAAAGCUACCCCGGGGAUAACAGGCUUAUCUCCCCCAAGAGUCCACAUCGACGGGGAGGUUUGGCACCUCGAUGUCGGCUCGUCGCAUCCUGGGGCUGUAGUCGGUCCCAAGGGUUGGGCUGUUCGCCCAUUAAAGCGGCACGCGAGCUGGGUUCAGAACGUCGUGAGACAGUUCGGUCCCUAUCCGUCGCGGGCGCAGGAAAUUUGAGAGGAGCUGUCCUUAGUACGAGAGGACCGGGAUGGACACACCGCUGGUGUACCAGUUGUUCCGCCAGGAGCAUCGCUGGGUAGCUAUGUGUGGCAGGGAUAAACGCUGAAAGCAUCUAAGCGUGAAGCCCCCCUCAAGAUGAGAUUUCCCAUUUCUUCGGAAAGUAAGAUCCCUGAAAGAUGAUCAGGUAGAUAGGUUUGGAGUGGAAGUGUAGCGAU
rnacentral:rRNA from 1 species